AAAAAAUGCAAGCAGCAAUAGCAAUUCUGACGAAAAUGGUGGCUUGAAUAGUAAGCAAAUCGAUUCGCUUAAUAUAACUAACUCUGACGGUAAUCAUAACAACAAUAGUAGUGAAUUGAUUAUUGCUGAAGCUUCAAAAAUCCUAUUGAAAAAUGGCUUAAAUGGCUCAAAGGCAGCAGCAGCCGCUGCUGUAGCUAUUGCCACAGCAAUUUUAUUGACAGCUGCUGCAAAUUUAAUAGUAGUCCCUCCAAAUGUUAUCGCAGUAAUAGCAUCUGUGGAGAGUCCGAAAUCUUCGUCAAUUGCUAACUUUUCAUCUGUAAAUCUAAACAGCAUUUGCGCCCAACAGCCCGCUAAUAGUGCCAGCAACAGUAUAAGUUAUCAUCAUAACAAUGCACACAAUGUAACCAUACCUAGCAAUCAAAUUUACGGAGGUCGCUUACAAUUUUUUAAAGAUGGUAAAUUUAUAUUGGAGCUGGCACGUUCGAAAGACGAUGACAAAAGUGGUUGGGUUUCAGUAUCAUGAGAAGAUAAUACCAUUCCAUCACCCGCUAGGUCAUCGACAUUAACUCAUUUUACAUUGAUCACAGGGGCUACACAAUCGCUAUUAGCGGCGUCUCCAGCUGCAUUGACCGUUCCAAAGAACGAAUGUUCCAAAUCAUUGUGUUGUUCAGAUGACACAAUCAUCACCAUUUCAAUGGGAUCAUCGCUGGAAACAAGUGACGUCUCGAAAAAAGACCUAAAUGAUAAGAAUAGUAUUGAAAAAGAAAGCAAUGGCCAUCGUGAAGGCGACAAUCGUCAGUUUGUUGAUGGCGAUGUUCAGAAUGGCUUAACGAAGAACAAACUUGAUAAUGGAAUUGUCGCCAAUGAAUCUGACAUCGAUGCAAUAAAAGAGAAAAUAUCAUAUAUAGUUGCGAUAAAAAAAUAAUGACAAUUCCCUAGGCUGUAAUCACAACAAAGACGCGAAGAACAAAAACUUCAAAUUUUCGUGAAAGCAGUGAAGUUGCACUCGUAGGAAUAAAUUUUAAGGAAAGGACGAAACACUUCUUUUGUUUUGGAUUUGCAUGCAGUUAAUGAAGAAUCGUUCUGAUUAAAGCGGACUUUAUCGUUUUCUAAUUGGCCAUUGGCCAUAUAUGAGAAAAAACGCAGACUUAAUAACGGCAAAAAUCAGUUAAUGAUAUGUUUAUCAAGUGUCAGGUUUCGAUCUCAUCUUUUGGUGGUUUAAAAAAUUAUAAUAUGAAGUCACGUCACUUAAUGGAAGGCCUUUAAUGGUGACGAAGCUAAAAAAAAGCAAGAUGUGUACCACGCUUGAGUGAAAUUUUUACUAAAGCCAAAAAAUUAUAUCGAUCACAGCGCACUUAGCUGGCGGAUUUUCCUAAACUUUCCAAUUCUAACCCAAUGACAGAAACUGCGCAGAGUUCCAAAUAAUCAAAAAAUAAAGUUAAUUUUUUAUCGGAGGCAACAAAUGGCACGAGGAAGUGUUGGACUUAAUACGCGGCUAACGUUGACAUAGGGUAGAAAAGCAGAUGGUAGAGCAACUUACUUAAACGUUCGGGCAAUUUUCGUAAACUUUUUUCGAUAAAAGGCGAAUUAUGCCCCAUGAAAACAA